GGAAGAGGGGGGAUGGACCUCCAGGCUGGAAGAUCGACUUCAUUUUUGUUGCUUCAACUUGUCCUGAACGGUUAGACGAGGCGCGCUCGCGCUCACACACACCACGGGGAGUCCAGCCCUCGCUGGCUCGGCUCCCUGCCUGGACCCGCCGGCUCAGCGCCUUGCGCGCCCUUGGCCUGCCCGAAGGCCCAGGCGUCAGAGGGCUCCGGCGCCUGCCUCCGCGGUGCGUGCUUGGGGCGGCCCUGGCCCCAGAAGGGCCGCCAGCUGAAUUUUCCCGGACUAGAUAAGCUGUUAACCCCUGAAAUAUGGAUGCUUCUGGAAGCUGUGGCACAAGGAAGGCUGGCCUGCUCGGGCAGUUCCAGCCCAGAGCUGCGAUGGUCUUGAACAACUCAGAGGUGUUGGUGAUGGAUACAAUUAUCUCUGUAUAAGGAGGCCUUGGCUGUGGGCCUGGCAAAAUGAUGGUCAAUGCACUUAUUCAACAGAUGUUUGCAGAGCACCUGCUAUGUUCUAGAAUGCGGGCCUGAAUGAGACAGUCAAGACCUCUGCCAACAUGGACCUUAUAGUAUCGUUGGAGAGACAACCAAGAAACAGGCUGGCACAGUACACCCUCACAGCUUCCCAGUACCUGGACUCCUUCUACUGAGGCCUGGAUUUUGCUAUGCUUUCCUCACCUUUACAUGAACUAUUGCCCGGAGGACACCCAGGACGCUGCCCAGAAAGCUGCCUCAAAAAUAUACAUCUGCAAGACAUUACAAAGUUGGAAGGAAAAGUACGCCCAGCACCCAUGGGGGAGACCUGUCCCAACAGGUCUCACCUUGACGGAAGUUGCAAAGGAUGGAAUGGGGAGGCCUUGGGAGUUGCCCUUUGUGGCCUGCUUCAGGCCGAGGAAGAGGAGGUCCCUGCACUCCUCCAAAGGUCUUUAAUUCCUUCUGAAGCUGUUUUAUAGGUCUGGUUGCUGUACAGUCACUUGGAUGAUAGGUGUGCAAUUAAAUUUUCAAGAUGGCGGAUGCAGUGGGUUAAACUUCAUUUCCCCCCAAAGAUGCGUCCGAGUCCUAAACCCUGGUAGCUACGAAUGAAACUCAUCGAAGGAUGAGAUCAUCCUGGGUUAGAGUGGGUCUUAAAUCCAAUGACUGGUGUCCUGGUAAGAAACAGAUCAUGAGGAGACACAGGGAGAAGUCCAGGUGAAGAUGGAAGCAGAACUUGGAGGGAUGCGGCCACAAACCUUGGAGCACCAGCAGCCACUGGAAGCUGGAGGAGGCGGGGAACGACUGAGGAGGGAGUGUGUGGCCCUGCGGAUGCCUUGAUUUCAGACUCCCCCUUCCAGA